AUUGAACGCUGGCGGCAGGCCUAACACAUGCAAGUCGAGCGAGCGGCGGACGGGUGAGUAAUGUAUGGGGACUGCCCGAUAGAGGGGGAUAACUACUGGAAACGGUAGCUAAUACCGCAUACUAUCGGAUAACCCAUAUGGGAUUAGCUAGUAGGUGAGGUAAUGGCUCACCUAGGCGACGGUCCCGAGCUGGUAUGAGAGGAUGAUCAGCCACACUGGGACUGGGACACGGCCCAGACUCCUACGGAGGCAGCGGUGGGGAAUAUUGCACAAGGGGCGAAAGCCGGAUGCAGCCAUGCCGGGUGUAUGAAGAAGGCCCUAGGGUUGUAAAGUACUUUCAGGCGGGAGGCGUUACCGACAGAAGAAGCACCGGCUAACUCCGUGCCAGCAGCCGGGGUAAUU
rnacentral:rRNA from 1 species